rnacentral:rRNA from 1 species
UUGAAAGGGAAACGAUUGAAGUCAGUCAUGCCAGUGGGAAUCAACUUAGAGGAAACUCUGAGUGCACUUCUUCGCUUGGCAGGUCAACGUCGAUUUUGGAUGUCAUAAAAUGAUUGGGGGAAGGUAGCUCCUUCGGGAGUGUUAUAGCCCUUGGUAGAUGUGAUGUCUGGGAGCUCGAGGAUUGCAAUGGAUAAUGCCCCUUUGGGGCUAGCCGCCUGAUCUCUAAUCGGUGGCAAAUAUUGGGUUACGGAUAGCACGCUGACCGUGAUCUAAUUAUUGGUUAAAAGGUUAGAGCGUGCAUAAAUUCGUUAAGGAUGUUGACGUA